rnacentral:rRNA from 1 species
CCUACGGGUGGCAGCAGUGAGGAAUAUUGGUCAAUGGCCGGAAGGCUGAACCAGCCAUGCCGCGUGAAGGUCAGUGCCCUAUGGGCGUUAAACUUCUUUUGUGCGGGCGCAAUAAUGGUCACGUGUGGACAGACGAGAGUACCGUACGAAUAAGCAUCGGCUAACUCCGGGCCAGCAGCCGGGGUAAUACGGGGGAUGCAAGCGUUAUCCGGAUUUAUUGGGUUUAAAGGGGGCGUAGGCUGUGAGGUAAGUCAGGGGGGAAAUGCCCCCGCUCAACGGGGUGAAGUGCCAUUGAUACUGCCGUGCUGGAGUGCGGAUGCCGUAGGAGGAAUGUGUGGUGUAGCGGUGAAAUGCAUAGAUAUCACACAGAACACCGAUUGCGAAGGCAGCUCACGAAUCCGCGAUUGACGCUGAUGCACGAAAGCGUGGGUAUCAAACAGGAUUAGAUACCCCUGUAGUC